AACGAACGCUGGCGGCAGGCUUAACACAUGCAAGUCGAACGGGUGCAGCAAUGCGAUCAGUGGCAGACGGGUGAGUAACACGUGGGAACCUUCCUAGGGUACGGAACAACUCAGGGAAACUUGAGCUAAUACCGUAUACGUCCGUAAGGAGAAAGAUUCAUCGCCCCUAAGACGGGCCCGCGUCGGAUUAGGUAGUUGGUGGGGUAACGGCCUACCAAGCCUGCGAUCCGUAGCUGAUCNGAGAGGAUGAUCAGCCACACUGGGACUGAGACACGGCCCAGACUCCUACGGGAGGCAGCAGUGGGAAUCUUGGACAAUGGGCGCAAGCCUGAUCCAGCCAUGCCGCGUGAGUGAAGAAGGCCUUAGGGUUGUAAAGCUC
rnacentral:rRNA from 1 species